CCCUUAGAUGUCCGGGGCCGCACGCGCGCUACACUGAUGCAUUCAACAAGUUUUACCUUGGCCGAGAGGCCUGGGAAAUCUUUCAAAUAUGUAUCGUGAUAGGGAUAGAUUAUUGCAAUUAUUAAUCUUGAACGAGGAAUUCCUAGUAAAUGCAGAUCAUCAUUCUGCGUUGAUUACGUCCCUGCCCUUUGUACACACCGCCCGUCGCACCUACCGAUUGAAUGAUCCGGUGAAGCCUCGGGAUUGUGCCCAGAGAACUUUAUUGUGAUUUGGGUGUGAGAACUUGUCUAAACCUUAUCAUUUAGAGGAAGGUGAAGUCGUAACA
rnacentral:rRNA from 1 species